rnacentral:rRNA from 1 species
GUCGAACGGUAACAGGAAGCAGCUUGCUGCUUUGCUGACGAGUGGCGGACGGGUGAGUAAUGUCUGGGAAACUGCCUGAUGGAGGGGGAUAACUACUGGAAACGGUAGCUAAUACCGCAUAACGUCGCAAGACCAAAGAGGGGGACCUUCGGGCCUCUUGCCAUCGGAUGUGCCCAGAUGGGAUUAGCUAGUAGGUGGGGUAAAGGCUCACCUAGGCGACGAUCCCUAGCUGGUCUGAGAGGAUGACCAGCCACACUGGAACUGAGACACGGUCCAGACUCCUACGGGAGGCAGCAGUGGGGAAUAUUGCACAAUGGGCGCAAGCCUGAUGCAGCCAUGCCGCGUGUAUGAAGAAGGCCUUCGGGUUGUAAAGUACUUUCAGCGGGGAGGAAGGGAGUAAAGUUAAUACCUUUGCUCAUUGACGUUACCCGCAGAAGAAGCACCGGCUAACUCCGUGCCAGCAGCCGCGGUAAUACGGAGGGUGCAAGCGUUAAUCGGAAUUACUGGGCGUAAAGCGCACGCAGGCGGUUUGUUAAGUCAGAUGUGAAAUCCCCGGGCUCAACCUGGGAACUGCAUCUGAUACUGGCAAGCUUGAGUCUCGUAGAGGGGGGUAGAAUUCCAGGUGUAGCGGUGAAAUGCGUAGAGAUCUGGAGGAAUACCGGUGGCGAAGG